rnacentral:rRNA from 1 species
GGUUAAGCGACUAAGCGUACACGGUGGAUGCCCUGGCAGUCAGAGGCGAUGAAGGACGUGCUAAUCUGCGAUAAGCGCCGGUAAGGUGAUAUGAACCGUUAUAACCGGCGAUUUCCGAAUGGGGAAACCCAGUGUGAUUCGUCACACUAUCAUUAACUGAAUCCAUAGGUUAAUGAGGCGAACCGGGGGAACUGAAACAUCUAAGUACCCCGAGGAAAAGAAAUCAACCGAGAUUCCCCCAGUAGCGGCGAGCGAACGGGGAGGAGCCCAGAGCCUGAAUCAGCAUGUGUGUUAGUGGAAGCGUCUGGAAAGGCGCGCGAUACAGGGUGACAGCCCCGUACACAAAAGCGCAUGUGCUGUGAGCUCGAUGAGUAGGGCGGGACACGUGGUAUCCUGUCUGAAUAUGGGGGGACCAUCCUCCAAGGCUAAAUACUCCUGACUGACCGAUAGUGAACCAGUACCGUGAGGGAAAGGCGAAAAGAACCCCGGCGAGGGGAGUGAAAAAGAACCUGAAACCGUGUACGUACAAGCAGUGGGAGCACAGGUUUACCUGUGUGACUGCGUACCUUUUGUAUAAUGGGUCAGCGACUUAUAUUCUGUAGCAAGGUUAACCGUAUAGGGGAGCCGGAGGGAAACCGAGUCUUAAUUGGGCGUUAAGUUGCAGGGUAUAGACCCGAAACCCGGUGAUCUAGCCAUGGGCAGGUUGAAGGUUGGGUAACACUAACUGGAGGACCGAACCGACUAAUGUUGAAAAAUUAGCGGAUGACCUGUGGCUGGGGGUGAAAGGCCAAUCAAACCGGGAGAUAGCUGGUUCUCCCCGAAAGCUAUUUAGGUAGCGCCUCGUGAAUUCAUCUCCGGGGGUAGAGCACUGUUUCGGCUAGGGGGCCAUCCCGGCUUACCAACCCGAUGCAAACUGCGAAUACCGGAGAAUGUUAUCACGGGAGACACACGGCGGGUGCUAACGUCCGUCGUGAAGAGGGAAACAACCCAGACCGCCAGCUAAGGUCCCAAAGUCAUGGUUAAGUGGGAAACGAUGUGGGAAGGCCCAGACAGCCAGGAUGUUGGCUUAGAAGCAGCCAUCAUUUAAAGAAAGCGUAAUAGCUCACUGGUCGAGUCGGCCUGCGCGGAAGAUGUAACGGGGCUAAACCAUGCACCGAAGCUGCGGCAGCGAACGUAUCACCCAAGACAACUUUACGGAGUUGACGAUUGACGGAGCGAAGCGACGUCAAAGCGUUCAUUAAAGUCGAGUUGGCUUAGGGAUACGUUCGUUGGGUAGGGGAGCGUUCUGUAAGCCUGUGAAGGUGUGUCGUGAGGCAUGCUGGAGGUAUCAGAAGUGCGAAUGCUGACAUAAGUAACGAUAAAGCGGGUGAAAAGCCCGCUCGCCGGAAGACCAAGGGUUCCUGUCCAACGUUAAUCGGGGCAGGGUGAGUCGACCCCUAAGGCGAGGCCGAAAGGCGUAGUCGAUGGGAAACGGGUUAAUAUUCCCGUACUUGGUGUUACUGCGAAGGGGGGACGGAGAAGGCUAUGUUGGCCGGGCGACGGUUGUCCCGGUUUAAGCGUGUAGGUGUGUGUUCCAGGUAAAUCCGGUUCACUUUAACACUGAGGCGUGACGACGAGGCACUACGGUGCUGAAGCAACAAAUGCCCUGCUUCCAGGAAAAGCCUCUAAGCAUCAGGUAACACGAAAUCGUACCCCAAACCGACACAGGUGGUCAGGUAGAGAAUACCAAGGCGCUUGAGAGAACUCGGGUGAAGGAACUAGGCAAAAUGGUGCCGUAACUUCGGGAGAAGGCACGCUGACACGUAGGUGAAGUGAUUUACUCAUGGAGCUGAAGUCAGUCGAAGAUACCAGCUGGCUGCAACUGUUUAUUAAAAACACAGCACUGUGCAAACACGAAAGUGGACGUAUACGGUGUGACGCCUGCCCGGUGCCGGAAGGUUAAUUGAUGGGGUCAGCGCAAGCGAAGCUCCUGAUCGAAGCCCCGGUAAACGGCGGCCGUAACUAUAACGGUCCUAAGGUAGCGAAAUUCCUUGUCGGGUAAGUUCCGACCUGCACGAAUGGCGUAAUGAUGGCCAGGCUGUCUCCACCCGAGACUCAGUGAAAUUGAACUCGCUGUGAAGAUGCAGUGUACCCGCGGCAAGACGGAAAGACCCCGUGAACCUUUACUAUAGCUUGACACUGAACAUUGAGCCUUGAUGUGUAGGAUAGGUGGGAGGCUUUGAAGCGUGGACGCCAGUCUGCGUGGAGCCGACCUUGAAAUACCACCCUUUAAUGUUUGAUGUUCUAACGUGGACCCGUGAUCCGGGUUGCGGACAGUGUCUGGUGGGUAGUUUGACUGGGGCGGUCUCCUCCUAAAGAGUAACGGAGGAGCACGAAGGUUGGCUAAUCCUGGUCGGACAUCAGGAGGUUAGUGCAAUGGCAUAAGCCAGCUUGACUGCGAGCGUGACGGCGCGAGCAGGUGCGAAAGCAGGUCAUAGUGAUCCGGUGGUUCUGAAUGGAAGGGCCAUCGCUCAACGGAUAAAAGGUACUCCGGGGAUAACAGGCUGAUACCGCCCAAGAGUUCAUAUCGACGGCGGUGUUUGGCACCUCGAUGUCGGCUCAUCACAUCCUGGGGCUGAAGUAGGUCCCAAGGGUAUGGCUGUUCGCCAUUUAAAGUGGUACGCGAGCUGGGUUUAGAACGUCGUGAGACAGUUCGGUCCCUAUCUGCCGUGGGCGCUGGAGAACUGAGGGGGGCUGCUCCUAGUACGAGAGGACCGGAGUGGACGCAUCACUGGUGUUCGGGUUGUCAUGCCAAUGGCACUGCCCGGUAGCUAAAUGCGGAAGAGAUAAGUGCUGAAAGCAUCUAAGCACGAAACUUGCCCCGAGAUGAGUUCUCCCUGAGACUUAGAGUCUCCUGAAGGAACGUUGAAGACGACGACGUUGAUAGGCCGGGUGUGUAAGCGCAGCGAUGCGUUGAGCUAACCGGUACUAAUGAACCGUGAGGCUUAACCUU